AUGGCUAACAUCCGCGGAGACUUGAUCUUCGACGGAUUCGAACCACUGCUGAACGCGCCGCACUGUCACGACGAGCACGAUCUAGCUCUGCCACCGAACAGUGCCCUGGAGGCCGCACCCGCAUCGGCUCCGACCCUUAGUUCGGAGCCAACCGCGCCGAUUGAGGAUGAGCGGUUGGAUGCCACCUCGGGGGUUGUAAUCCCAACGGCGGUUGAGCCGAACACCAGCCCCGUACUCUGUGAGACUCGUGACUCCAUGGAGCCGGAUUCUUCUCCGGACUCCGAACCCUCCGCGCCCCUGCCGAUCGAAUCCGAUUGGGCGCCGAUCAUGGAGUUCACAGCCGCGGAUGUCUUUCUGCACUCGCCUUUCGGCGAUAUCCUGAAGUCACUGAAGUCUCUCUCUUUAUCAGGAGAGCCCUGGCCGGACUACGGUCAGCAAGGUUGGGGUACGGACGAUGAAGAAAUUCAAAACCCACCCACCACCCGCUUCGUAGCCACUGUCGAUGACUUGACCGACAUGCUCGACUUCGACUCCGACGACAUCGACGGUAUGGACACCGAUGAAGGACAUGAUGAAGAAUCAGCGCCUAUUGAGCCCUGGAAUGCCACCUCGUCAUACGACGUAUACAUGGUGGAUGCACCAAAAGAUGACGACAAAGAGCGGAAGGACGCACCGAAGGAUUGUUCCCUCGAAAAGCAUUCAAAGCGGCAACGCAAGCGCCGCCCCAAAUCUCGCCUCGACAAAAAUAGCAAUCACACAGACCCAGCGCUGGAGCAGGGCGAACCGCUACCGGACAACGGCAAUCCAGAUAAUCAAACCAAACAAACAAACCCUAUCAAGGAUAAUGGUCCGGACGACAUAACGCCGGACAGACACCCGGAGCAGCAGACUGCCCAUAAAAGGCUUGUUGCCACCGCGAGGAGUCUGAAAAAGCAGAAGCAAAGGCUCAAGGCUGCGCAAGACACACUCCACAUUAGAUGGAGCAAAAUACUCAACACAGCAGCGAGGUAUGGCGACAAUCGCCCCUCCAAGAGCUACCCAAAGCGGAAGCUGCUACCCGAAUUCGAUGAGGAGGCCGCAGACCCCCCACAACCAAAUAUCAAAGCAGCCACCUGGUCGGAUAGACGACCCCUCUACCAACACAGAGCGGCAUAUAACGCCGCUCACAAUAUAACAUGUGACCCAGGUGAGGGUUCGCACCCAAAGGACGGUGCAACAAGAUCCAUCUAUGGACCACGCAAGCGCCCCCCAGCAUACAAUGCAACACAACAAGUAUCCGAACAACGCGACACACCCAGCUACAGGGGUGCCGCACACCCCCUGUGUUUCACCGAUGAGGUGCUGGACCAUGAAUUUCUAGAGGGAUUCAAACCCGUAAAAAUAGAGGCAUACGACGGAACAACAGACCCUAGGGUUUGGAUUGAGGACUAUAUCCUUCAUAUCCAUAUGGCUCGAGGAGAUGAUCUCCACGCAAUCAAAUACUUACCCCUCAAGCUCAAAGGGCCAGCUCGUCACUGGCUCAAAGGCCUCCCCGAAAGCUCCAUUGGAAUUUGGGAAGAGCUUGAAGACGCCUUUCGGGCAAAUUUUCAAGGGACUUAUGUCCGACCUCCAAAUGCGGAUGAUCUGAGUCAUAUAACUCAGCAGCCCGGAGAGUCAGCCCGAAAGAUUUGGAAUAGGUUUCUUACUAAAAAUAACUAG
rnacentral:rRNA from 1 species